rnacentral:pre_miRNA from 1 species
GGGGGGAGGCCGGAUCUUGGGCUGUGUCCCAGCGCCCUGUGCUCCCGGUCUGCACUGUUGGAUUCGAGCUUCCGGCCGCGCAGCCACCU